rnacentral:rRNA from 1 species
UACAGAGGUCCCAAGCGUUGUUCGGAUUCAUUGGGCGUAAAGGGUGCGUAGGCGGCGCGGUAAGUCGGGUGUGAAAUCUCGGAGCUUAACUCCGAAACUGCAUUCGAUACUGCCGUGCUUGAGGACUGGAGAGGAGACUGGAAUUUACGGUGUAGCGGCGAAAUGCGUAGAUAUCGUAAGGAAGACCAGUGGCGAAGGCGGGUCUCUGGACAGUUCCUGACGCUGAGGCACGAAGGUCAGGGGAGCAAACGGG